rnacentral:misc_RNA from 1 species
CUCUCUCUCUCUCUCUCUUGAAAAGAUAGGAAUUCAUUAAUAGUUAAGUAAUAUAGGGCUCAGGGCCAAACAUUACAACAGAUCAAGCCCACAUCCACCGAUAGAGAAAUCAAUACAUUGAGGUUCACAACCAAGUAACCCAAUACAAAAUCAAGCCCAAAGUCCAUAAUUGAAAACCCCAGCCACCAAACCAAGACUUGCAAAACAAUGCUUUGCAUCGUACGCUGUCUAGAGGAUGAAAGGUUACGCUUUUACAGAAGAUAGAAACACCACAUGAACUCAAGAAAGCUCGGUGUGCCUUCUGACAACCAUCCUUCCAAAUAGUAAGAAGGCCCAUGAGAACUCAGCACCAUCAGUGACCUACAAGAAGAGAUGGAAGGCAGGACUUGUAGACAUAUCAGUCUCUUAUAGCUUUCGAGGGUCGGCGAUCGUGGAAAUCAGUCCAUGCAACUAUGUCGAAGCCCUCUCUUAUGGAACUAACUCAGAAAGCAUAUCCACUUUCCCCAAGCUCAAUUAAACAACAGACACAGCAGAUCUUCAACACAAACCUUUUCCAAAAAAAACCUAGAGAUCUACACACAUAGCCAACAACCUAUUUACAGCCCGUUUGAAAGUGGGAACGGAGAGCCCACUCAUGAGGGUAGGGAAUGAGCCUUCCCUUAAGGUAAGUCACUGAACGAAUAAAAAAAGGAAAAAAAAUAUAUAUAUAUA